UACGGAGGAUCCAAGCGUUGUCCGGAUUUAUUGGGUUUAAAGGGUGCGUAGGCGGACCAUUAAGUCAGAGGUGAAAGUUUGCAGCUUAACUGUAAAAUUGCCUUUGAAACUGGUGGUCUUGAGUACAGUUGAGGUGGGCGGAAUGUGUCAUGUAGCGGUGAAAUGCUUAGAUAUGAUACAGAACACCGAUUGCGAAGGCAGCUCACUAAACUGUAACUGACGCUGAGGCACGAAAGCGUGGGGAGCGAACAGGAUUAGAUACCCUGGUAGUCCACGCCCUAAACGUUGAAUACUCGUUGUUGGCGAUAUACAGUCAGCGACUAAGCGAAAGCAUUAAGUAUUCCACCUGGGGAGUACGACCGCAAGGUUG
rnacentral:rRNA from 1 species